rnacentral:rRNA from 1 species
AGGACGAACGCUGGCGGACGUGACCUAACACAUAGCAAGUCGAGCGAAGAUUAUAGCAAUGUAAUCUAGCGGCGGACGGGUGAGUAACGCGUGGGCAACCUACCUCAAACUGGGGGAUAACACAGGGAAACUUGUGCUAAUACCGCAUAACAUCAUGAAAUGACAUCAUUUUAUGAUCAAAGGAGCAAUCCCGGUAAGAGAUGGGCCCGCGUCCAAUUAGGCUAGUUGGUGGUGUAACGGACCACCAAGGCGACGAUUGGUAGCCGAACUGAGAGGUUGAUCGGCCACAUUGGGACUGAGACACGGCCCAGACUCCUACGGGAGGCAGCAGUGGGGAAUAUUGCGCAAUGGGGGAAACCCUGACGCAAGCAACGCCGCGUGAAGGAUGAAGGUUUUCGGAUCGUAAACUUCUUUGAUGAGGGACGAAAGCAAAUGACGGUACCUCAAAAACAAGCCACGGCUAACUACGUGCCAGCAGCAGC